AGAUAACUGGGCCCCUGGGCUCAGGAGGCCUGCACCCUCUGCUCUGGGUUAAGUUUUGUCUGCAGCUCGAUUUCUUGGUUCCCUGACUGGGAAGCGAGGUGAAUGGCGGAUGGUCAAGGCAGCUCCUUAGGCGGCUUAAACCUGCCCUGUGGAACAUCCCUGCAGGGGACUCCAACCAGCCCGAGCAACACGGAUCCUGAGGGCGCUCCUGGUUAGGCAUUUGCCCCACUGGGACGCCUCGCCAGAGCACUGUAUGGCAGGCCCCCAUGGAGGAUCAACGCAGUGGCUGAACACCGGGAAGGAACGGGCACUUGGAGUCUGGACAUCUAAAACUUGGUGGAAAGAAGAAAAACUCGAGCCAGCCUGGAAGGACCCUACCUUGUGUUGCUAACCACCAAGACUGCUGUUCGUACAGCAAAAAAGGAUGGACUCGUCACACCAGAAUCAAGAAAGUGCCACCCCCUCCAGAGUCAUGGGCCACAGUCCCAGAGGAAAACCCUGCCAAACUAAAGCUACGAAAAAUCUCUUUUCAUCUAUUCUAUUACUCUUCUUUCUUUCCUCGUGCUAUUGCUGACCAUCUAGUUAUUAACAUAACCAAGUCAAUUUCACCUCAAACUAUUGCAUUUAAUGCUUGCCUUGUUAUACCCUGUGGGGACUUGCCAAGUCAAAGACAGCUCUCUACUUCAGAAAAGUACUUCUGUCCCUCCUGACUCUCCUCAGACUGGACAUUAGUAAACUAGGACCAUUUAAUCCAGGGAGAUUUCGAUAAAGACCCCAGUGCCAACCAGGAGUCUUGUCCCCUGAUGUAGAGUUUUUAUGCCGUAGUUGGUCCAACGUUCUGUGGACCACUAAAGAGCAAGAAUGGACUGCCCCAACCAGUUUUUGUAAUUUCCUAAAACCAUACAUUCGUUUUACUAGAGGAUCAUAGAAGUUAAAGAGUUAAAACAAACUUUACCAAUGAAGACAGGAUACCAAGAUGCAAAUGCCUGGUUAAAAUGCAUCAAAUAUUCCAUCUGCACGUUAAACAAAAGCAAUUGUUAUGCUUGUGCACAUGGCAGGCCAGAGGCCCAGAUUGUCCCCUUUCCACUAAGGUGGUCCUCCAGUCGACCAGAUGUGGGCUGCCUGGUAGCUCUUUUCCAGGAUUCUACAGCCUGUAUUAAUAAGUCAUGCCAAGCUCUCUCUGCUAUAUCCCAAAGUCCAGCACCCUGCGGGUCAGCCCCCGAGGGCCAUCCAUCCUCCAUCUCCCAACACUAAGUUCACUUCAUGUCUCUCACAACAGGGAGGAAACUUAGCGUUCCUUGGAGACCUGAAAGGAUGCAGUUAGCUUAAGAAUUUUCAAGAGCUUAUCAAUCAGUCAGCCCUUGUUCAUCCCCGAGCAGAUGUGUGGUGGUAUUGUGGUGGACCUUUACUGGGCACUCUGCCAAAUAACUGGAGUGGCACUUGUACUUUAGUCCAAUUGGCUAUCCCUUUCACCCUGGCAUUUCAUCAACCAGAAGGAAAAAAAGAAAGACAUUGUAAAGCGAGAGAAGCCCCUUAUGGGUCUUUCGACUCUCAUGUCUAUUUAGAUGCAAUUGGAGUCCCACGAAGAAUACCAGAUCAAUUUAAAGCUUGAAAUCAAAUAGCUGCAGGAUUUAAGUCAAUAUUUUAGUGGGUGACAGUUAAUAAAAAUGUAGAUUAGAUAAACUACAUCUAUUACAACCAACAACAACGAGGUUUUCAUGAGUUAAAAGAAAACCUCAUGUUGGUCCCAGCCCUGAGGCUACCUGACCUGACAAAACUCUUUACACUCUAUGUGUCAGAAAGAGAAAAAAUGGCAGUUGGAGUUUUAACCCAUACUGUGAGGCCCUGGCCAAGGCCAGUGGCCUAUCUCUCAAAACAACUAGACAGGAUUUCCAAAGGCUGGCCCCCAGGUCUAAGGGCCCUAGCAGCAACAGCCCUGUUAGCACAAGAAGCAGAUAAACUAACCCUUAGGAAAACCUGAAUAUAAAGGCCCCCCAUGCUGUGGUAACUUUAAUGACUACCAAAGGACCUCAUUGGUUACAAAUGCUAGAUUAACCAAGUACCAAAGCUUGCUAUGUGAAAAUCCCCACAUAACCACUGAAGUUUGCAACACCCUAAACCCCACCACCUUGCUCCUGGUAUCAGAGAGCCUAGUUGAACAUACUGUGUAGAGGUGUUGGACUCAGUUUAUUCUAGCAGGCCCAACCUCCGAGACUAUCCUUAAACAUCAGUAGACUGUGAGGGGUACGUGGACGGGAGUAGCUUCGCCAACCCCUGCAAAGUGACUCUGAAGAAGACGACAAGCUCUGCUCCAGUCACACCCAGAAGCUGACUGGUCCACGCACGGCCGAAGCAUGAGAAAACUCAUUGCGGAACUCAUUUUCCUUAAAAUUUGGACUUUUACAGUAAGGACUUCAACUGACCUUCCUCAGACUGAGGACUGUUCCAGUGUAUACAUCAAGUCACUGAGGUAGGACAAAAGGUUGCUACAGUCCUAUUAUUUUAUGGUUAUUAUAAGUGUACUGGAACUCUAAAAAUAACUUGUUUGUAUAAUGUUAUUCUGUACAAGGUAUGUAGCCCAGGAAGUGACCAACCUGAUGUGUGUUAUGACCCAUCUGAGCCUCCCAUGACCACGGUUUUUAAAAUAAGAUUAAGGACUGAGGACUGGUGGGGGCUCAUAAAUGAUAUGAGUA
ensembl:lncRNA novel transcript